rnacentral:rRNA from 1 species
AGCGAACGCUGGCGGCAUGCCUAACACAUGCAAGUCGCACGGGGGGGCUUCGGCCUCCCAGUGGUGGACGGGUGAGGAACGCGUAGGGACCUGUCGAGGGGGGGGGGAUAACCUCGGGAAACUGUGGCUAAUACAGCAUGACGCCGCGACGUGACAGCCGGGGCCAAAGGCGAAAGCCGCCCUCCGAGGGGCCUGCGUCGGAUUAGCCGGUUGUCGGGGUAGCGGCCCAUCAAGGCGUGGACCGGUAGCUGGUCUGAGAGGGUGAUCAGCUACACCGGGACUGAGACACGGCCCGGACUCCUAGGGGAGGCAGCAGUGGGGGAUAUUGGAAAAUGGGCGCAAGCCUGAUCCAGCAAGGCCGCGUGGGUGAAGAAGGUCUGAGGAUUGUGAAGCCCUUUCGGAGGGGACGAUGGUGACGGUACCCGAAGAAGAAGCACCGGCUAACUUCGUG